rnacentral:rRNA from 1 species
CCCUUAGAUGUCCUGGGCCGCACGCGCGUUACACUGAUGCAUUCAACGAGCUUAUAACCUUGGCCGAGAGGCCUGGGCAAUCUUGUUAACGUGCAUCGUGAUAGGGAUAGAUUAUUGAAAUUAUUAAUCUUGAGCGAGGAAUUCCUAGUAAACGCAGAUCAUCAAUCUGCAUUGAUUACGUCCCUGCCCUUUGUACACACCGCCCGUCGCACCUACCGAUUGGAUGGUCCGGUGAAGCCUCGGGAUUGUGGUUCUUGCCGCUUUAUUGUGGCGUGACCGCGAGAACUUGUCUAAACCUUAUCAUCUAGAGGAAGGUGAAGCCGUAACA